rnacentral:lncRNA from 1 species
GAUUUAUUUAUUUAUGAUGUGUACAGUGUUCUGUCUGCAUGUAUCCCUGCAGGCCAGAAGAGGGCACCAGAUCUCAUUACAGAUGGUUGUGAGCCACCAAGUGGUUGCUGGGAAUUGAACUCAGGACCUCUGGAAGAGCAAGCAGUGUUCUUAACCUCUGAGCCAUCUCUCCAGCCCACAUUAAGUACUCUUAACCACUGAGACAUUUCUGCAACCCAACCCCAGCCCUUGGAGGCGGAAGCAAAGAUGACUGAAAGUUCAAGGCCAGCCUGGGCUGCAUGGUGGGGCUACAUAUGCCUCUACACAUUUUGAGUCAUGGCCUGGAAGCAUCCUGAGACAACAGGAACGUGAUGGGCAGGCCAAAGGUGGCUCCUGGUUGUCUGUACUGGCCUCUGCAAGUGUCUGGCAAGUGGAGGCACUUGGGGAUUUAUAGAAGUGAAUACUGGAACAUUCUUCCGUACCCCCAUACUCCCAGGAAGACACAGGACACAAAGCAAAGCUCCAGCACUUUAUUACUGUUGAAGAACACAGAGAAGAAGGCUUGCUUUUCUUCCCCAGUGGGAGAGUCAUGGGAGGGGCAUUGGAGAGGGGUGGCGGGGGGAGCAGACUGAGGCAACCAGGUCAAAUGGGUGGGGCACAGUAUGAUGGUGAGAGUGGUAAGCAUUGACUGGAUCCUAGUGUCACAACUCCUGAGAGUGUCCCAAGGGUGUCUUAACCUCUUUUAGCCUUGGACUCCUUGAGUGCUAUUUCACUGGGUGGCGUGAGGACCGAGCAGUGUUGUGAAUGUGUAACAUGGGGCCUGGCAGAUGGUAAAGAGCCGGGGGGGGGGGUCAACAACAGCCUCAGAGUGUGAGCAGGAGGUGGUCUCUCUUCAGAAGUGUCUUCUGGGUCUGGAGAGAUGGCUCAGGUGUUAAGAGCACUGACUGUUCUUCCAGAGGUUCUGAGUUCAAUUCCCAGCAACCACAUGGUGGCUCACAACCAUCUGUAAUGUGAUCUGGUGCUCUCUUCUGGCACGUACUGUAUACAUGAUAAGUAAAUAAAUAAAUCUUAAGAAGUGUCUUCUGGAUUCUUGCUAAGAGCAUAGCUUGGCAUACCCCUGGGAACUACCUGGUCUCUGGAGAUAUGAUGCCAUACCCACAACCGAGGGCUGGGAAGUUAUGGCAGUUACCACCUCUACCAACUCACCAACUGCCCUGUAACCAGGGACAGUUAAAGGAGAACUCUCUCUCUCUCUCUCUCUCUCUCUCUCUCUCUCUCUCUCUCUUCCUCCCUCCCUCCCUCCCC